AACACGUGAGUAACCUGCCCUUGACUCUGGGAUAAGCUUUGGAAACGACGUCUAAUACCGGAUACGAGCUUCAGCCGCAUGGCUAGGAGCUGGAAAGAAUUUCGGUCAAGGAUGGACUCGCGGCCUAUCAGCUAGUUGGUGAGGUAAUGGCUCACCAAGGCGACGACGGGUAGCCGGCCUGAGAGGGUGACCGGCCACACUGGAACUGAGACACGGUCCAGACUCCUACGGGAGGCAGCAGUGGGGAAUAUUGCACAAUGGGCGAAAGCCUGAUGCAGCAACGCCGCGUGAGGGACGACGGCCUUCGGGUUGUAAACCUCUUUUAGCAGGGAAGAAGCGAAAGUGACGGUACCUGCAAAAAAAGCACCGGCUAACUACGUGCCAGCAGCCGCGGUAAUACGUAGGGUGCAAGCGUUGUCCGGAAUUAUUGGGCGUAAAGAGCUCGUAGGCGGUUUGUCGCGUCUGCUGUGAAAUCCCGAGGCUCAACCUCGGGUCUGCAGUGGGUACGGGCAGACUAGAGUGCGGUAGGGGAGAUUGGAAUUCCUGGUGUAGCGGUGGAAUGCGCAGAUAUCAGGAGGAACACCGAUGGCGAAGGCAGAUCUCUGGGCCGUAACUGACGCUGAGGAGCGAAAGGGUGGAGAGCAAACAGGCUUAGAUACCCUGGUAGUCCACCCCGUAAACGUUGGGCGCUAUAUGUGGG
rnacentral:rRNA from 1 species